CGCGGGGUGGAGCAGUUCGGUAGCUCGCUGGGCUCAUAACCCAGAGGUCGCAGGUUCAAAUCCUGUCCCCGCUACCA
rnacentral:tRNA from 115 species